UGGAGAAAUGGCUGAGUGGUCGAAAGCGACGGAUUGCUAAUCCGUUUACCGAUUUUAUCGGUCCAAGGGUUCGAAUCCCUUUUUCUCCGA
rnacentral:tRNA from 1 species